CCUACGGGAGUCAUCCGUGGGGAAUAUUGGACAAUGGGGGGAACCCUGAUCCAGCCAUGCCGCGUGUGUGAAGAAGGCCCUCGGGUUGUAAAGCACUUUCAGUGAGGAAGAACGCCUGGUGGUUAAUACCCAUCAGGAAAGACAUCACUCACAGAAGAAGCACCGGCUAACUCCGUGCCAGCAGCCGCGGUAAUACGGAGGGUGCGAGCGUUAAUCGGAAUUACUGGGCGUAAAGCGCGCGUAGGUGGCUUGAUAAGCCGGUUGUGAAAGCCCCGGGCUCAACCUGGGAACGGCAUCCGGAACUGUCAAGCUAGAGUGCAGGAGAGGAAGGUAGAAUUCCCGGUGUAGCGGUGAAAUGCGUAGAGAUCGGGAGGAAUACCAGUGGCGAAGGAGGCCUUCUGGACUGACACUGACACUGAGGUGCGAAAGCGUGGGUAGCAAACAGGAUUAGAUACCCCGGUAGUA
rnacentral:rRNA from 1 species